rnacentral:rRNA from 1 species
GACGGAGGGGGCUAGCGUUGUUCGGAAUUACUGGGCGUAAAGCGUGCGCAGGCGGUUUUGUAAGCCAGAUGUGAAAGCCCCGGGCUCAACCUGGGAAUGGCAUUUGGGACUGCAAGGCUUGAGUGCGGCAGAGGAGACUGGAAUUCCUGGUGUAGCAGUGAAAUGCGUAGAUAUCAGGAGGAAUACCGAUGGCGAAGGCAGGUCUCUGGGCUGACACUGACGCUCAUGCACGAAAGCGUGGGGAGCAAACAGG